rnacentral:rRNA from 1 species
GUGUCAGCCGCCGCGGUAAUACGUAGGUGGCAAGCGUUAUCCGGAAUUAUUGGGCGUAAAGCGCGCGCAGGUGGUUUCUUAAGUCUGAUGUGAAAGCCCACGGCUCAACCGUGGAGGGUCAUUGGAAACUGGGAGACUUGAGUGCAGAAGAGGAAAGUGGAAUUCCAUGUGUAGCGGUGAAAUGCGUAGAGAUAUGGAGGAACACCAGUGGCGAAGGCGACUUUCUGGUCUGUAACUGACACUGAGGCGCGAAAGCGUGGGGAGCAAACAGGAUUAGAUACCCUGGUAGUCCACGCCGUAAACGAUGAGUGCUAAGUGUUAGAGGGUUUCCGCCCUUUAGUGCUGAAGUUAACGCAUUAAGCACUCCGCCUGGGGAGUACGGCCGCAAGGCUGAAACUCAAAGGAAUUGACGG